UACGUAGGGGGGCGAGCGUUGUCCGGAUUCAUUGGGCGUAAAGAGCUCGUAGGCGGUUCAGCAAGUCGGGUGUGAAACCUCCAGGCUCAACCUGGAGACGCCACCCGAUACUGCUGUGACUUGAGUCCGGUAGGGGACCACGGGAAUUCCUGGUGUAGCGGUGAAAUGCGCAGAUAUCAGGAGGAACACCGGUGGCGAAGGCGGUGGUCUGGGCCGGCACUGACGCCGAGGAGCGAAAGCGUGGGGAGCGAACGAGG
rnacentral:rRNA from 1 species